AUGUCUUUGCUAACUGAUGACCUGGUUGUGGAGAUUUUGUCUUGGCUACCGCUGAAGUCCUUUUGCCGCUUCAAAUGUGUCUGCAAGUCUUGGCAUGCCUUGUCAUCUGAUCCACACUACCGCAAGAAGUUCCCAAGAACUCCCGUUGGUCUCUUCUACCAAAUACCUGAAUACCACACUGGUAUCGAUCUCGUUAGCCUUCCCUCAAGCGACAAAGAAAUUGACACAACACUUAGCUUUGUGCCAUGUUAUGAGGACCUACAGCUUAUGGAUUGCAGCAAUGGCCUACUUCUUUGUUAUCAUGGUGGUAUUAGAAAGUAUUUUGCAGAUAUAUCCCACGUUAUUGUGUGCAAUCCGGCAACUCAAGAGUGGAUGUCACUUCCAAAUACUGAACCUGGACCGUCAAGCUCUUUUUGUGACAUUGUGUUGUGUUUUGAUCCAUCAUGGUCUCAACACUUCCAUGUCUUCAGCUUCCAGUGCCAGUCUUCCAUGGCUGGUGAAGACUUCACUGAAGUUAAGGUUUUUUUCUCCGAGAAUUUCACAUGGUCUAGUUGUCGCUGGAAAAGUGAAACUGGAUUUGAUGGUAGUUCACGCUUCAUGAAUGGCGUGCUGUAUGUGAGUCAUCUAUUGGAGCAUGUCCUUCUGGCAAUCGAUGCACCCGACCCAUGUACGCAGUUGCUUAGUCAGAGGAUCAUUCAGCUGCCAGGAUUUCCAAAUGAUCCGGGGAUGUUUUCUUGGUGUAGUGGGUGUCUUUGCCAAUCAUCAGGGGUCUUAUGCUACGCACAACAAGAAUUUGAUGGUUGUAUGAUGCGGAUUUGGAGUUUGGAAGGCACUGACAGUUGGGUGGUGAGGCAUCGUCUGAGUAUGAACAAUGUAUUUGGGAGGGACUUGUUGCUCCGCACUGAUCAUAAUGGAUUUUGGUAUUUCGAUUAUGACAUCCACGAUUUUGACUUGGAGAGAGAGCUAGUUAUCCUUGUUGACAGAAUUGAUCAUAAGCUCAUCUCAUUUAGCAUCAGUACUGGGAAAGGCUCAGAGAUUCUAAAGAUUUCAGGGUUCGGUUACGUAUAUUGA
rnacentral:rRNA from 1 species